rnacentral:lncRNA from 1 species
AGGACUUGUGACUUGUGGCGAAAGAUAAUGGAUUGGGUUAUGUCGUAAACCUCUAAGACGGAUAUUAGAGGUAGAUUCAAGGUGUGGUUUAUUCUCAGCCGAGGGUGUUCAUGUUGGGCAUGCACAACAUGAAGCCGAGUGAUGAGAAUAUACGCCCUUGUGUGACUUUCGCCCGAUUUGAGUCAGUGUUAGUUGUCUCGUGUUCGGCCAGAGGGUCGAGGGUCGAAUAGAGUUGUCGCGUUUCAGGAAGCGAUAGCACCGCGUAGGCGAUCUUCAUUUAGAUCGGUGCGUGAUGGGACAAGUGAUGUCCCUGAGCAAUUCAACGUGAGCGGAUUAAGGGACUCCAAGAAAUGGUUGGUCGAUUGGUGAUCGUACCAGUUUCGGCUCGUCGAGUACGGCCGGGAGUUGCAGCGAAAAUGUUUUCGUCAAGGUCUAGCAGUUCAUUGGUGGAGGCAGUGAGGAGGGCGAGCUUUGGCCGCCCUCAUGACCUUCAAGCAAUUUGAUCCCCCCACCUUUGGUAGAGAGGAUGCGGAUCCGUGAAUCGUGGAGUUGUGGAUCGACUCCAUGGAGACUCUCUUUAAGGGUCUAUGUGCUGUGGAGCGGGAUAAGGUACGCCUAGCCAUGCGUUGUCUAAAAUAAUCGACGAUGGUGUGGUGGUAGGCGUCAAGCGGAUUUGAUCGCCUAGUUUCCCUCCUGUCGCUUGGGAUGAGCUUCGGGGUGUGUCAUGUUCUACGUACCUCCCCGAUAGUGAAAAGAGAAAGCUUCAGGAGAGGUUCUGGAAGCUGCGGUAAGGAGACCGCACCGUGAGGGAUUAUGAGCGGGAAUUCUCUCGUAUCGUGAGUUGCAUCCCGAAUGUGAUGCGGGAUGACGAGGAUGUGGCCGAUUUGUUUGUACGAAGACUUCGGCCGGACAUUUUCAAGGUUGUGCACGUAAGGAAGUGAAUUCUCGAAGUACGAGGAUUGGACUUUGUGUGGAAUCAACUGAGGGUCGUGUUGGUAUGCUUCGGAAGGGCCGAAGGCGUCAAAAGGAGUAAAGGUGCAUCAUUGGGGAUCUUCGAGAGCUAGGGAUUUGAAAAUCUGCAAACUGCAGGUUUUCUGCUCUCCGGGACCGGUCCCUGCGGGGAGAGACCGAUUCCCAAACGCGCAGACAGCGUGAAUGAGGGGAAAAACGGCUAAGUCCCUUGGUGGAAUGCUCUCGGGAACCGGUCCCUGCAGAGAGAGACCGGUCCCCAAGAGACCGGUUCCAUCGGGGGAGACCGGUUGCCUCAUGCGUAGCUUGCGCGGCCCCCGGGAGAAGCUCUCGAAGACCGGUCCCUCGUCGGGGAGACCGGUCUCCGUAGCUGAAAUUUGCCUAGUUUGGACAGUGCACAUUCUUAAGUUGCAGUCGCAAUCCCGAACCUCGAAGGUGUCCUC